rnacentral:tRNA from 25 species
GAUACUGUAGAUAUAGUUUCAAUCAAAACAUUAGAUUGUGGUUCUAAAAAUAGAGGUUAAAAUCCACUUAUCCACCGA